rnacentral:rRNA from 1 species
GACAGAGGGCGCAAACGUUGUUCGGAAUUACUGGGCGUAAAGCGCGUGUAGGCGGCUAUGCAAGUCGGAUGUGAAAUCCCACGGCUCAACCGUGGAAGUGCAUUCGAAACUGCAGGGCUAGAGUCCUGGAGAGGAAGGUGGAAUGCUUGGUGUAGAGGUGAAAUUCGUAGAUAUCAAGCGGAACACCGGUGGCGAAGGCGGCCUUCUGGACAGUGACUGACGCUGAGACGCGAAAGCGUGGGGAGCAAACAGG